rfam:Puccinia graminis f. sp. tritici CRL 75-36-700-3 supercont2.5 genomic scaffold, whole genome shotgun sequence.
GACAACGUGGCCGAGCGGUUAAGGCGAUUGACUAGAAUGUGAUUCUAAGACUUCUGUCUACCAUCAAUUGGGAUUUUCCCGCGUAGGUUCAAAUCCUGCCGUUGUCG